rnacentral:rRNA from 1 species
UACGUAGGGUGCGAGCGUUGUCCGGAAUUAUUGGGCGUAAAGAGCUCGUAGGCGGCUUGGUAGGUCCGCUGUGAAAACUCGAGGCUCAACCUCGAGAUGUCGGCGGAAACCACUUGGCUAGAGUCCGGAAGAGGAGAGUGGAAUUCCUGGUGUAGCGGUGAAAUGCGCAGAUAUCAGGAAGAACACCUAUGGCGAAGGCAGCUCUCUGGGACGGUACUGACGCUGAGACGCGAAAGCGUGGGGAGCGAACAGG